GGUUGAACGAGUGUUCACCUCGAAGUUAAUCGAGAAUCGCAGCGAUGUGCGGUUUGCACAUUUCACCUUGCUAGAACGUAAGAGGCAUCAAAUUAGUGAGUGUUCAACAACUAGAGAGUGUUUCCCAGAAUAGUUCUACGAUUUUAUUCGAUUAGAUUGUUCGAAUUAUAAUAAAUAUUUCAUCGUUCGCUUGGCAUCGCAUUUAUUAUUUGAAUAUAUCGAAAUAUUUUUUUAGAUAAAAAAAUGAUUGAUGAUUGGGAUAAUGAUAAUAACUAUCAAGAACCUGUUAACAUGACUACGUAUGAGUCUGAUGGUGGUCGAAGUUAUGGAAGGGGACGUGGCUUUAUAAUGCAUAAUGACAAUGGUAAUAAGACUUCCAAUUUUGAUGAUGUAAGAAAUGGUAGAGAUGGUGGCAGCAGAGGUGGUAACAAUCGAAAUGGUGGUGGUGGUGGUGGUAGAUAUGGAAAAGGAUCUAAUGGUGGAUAUGGAAAAGGUUCUAAUGGAGGAUACAGAAAUGAUAAUAAUAAAGAAGAGAACUGUUAUGGAAAUAAUAACAGGGAUGAUUCUUGUGAUUAUGAUGGCAACAGCGACACCAAUGACAAUGAUAACAGAUAUGACAAAGAAAGAAAAGGAGGUGGUAGAAAUAAUAGAAAUAUGGAUAAUGAUAGAAGAGAUGACAGAAAUGGUUAUCGUAACAGAGGAGGAGGUAGUAGUGGUGGUGGUGGUGGUCGAGGUAGAAAGAGAGGAGAUGAUUCUAAUAAUGAAGAUGGAGAUGGGCAAGAAAAGCCAAAGGUAGAAUUCUACAUACCGCCUGAUAUAGAUACAGAUGAGAAAUCUUUGUUUGAAAAUGGUGUUCAACAAGGGAUUAAUUUUGAAAAGUAUGAUGAUAUUGAGGUAUGCGUAAGCGGAGAGAAUGCACCAUCACAUAUAGAAUCUUUUGAGGAAGCUGGACUACGACCAUAUGUUCUAAGUAAUAUUAGAAAAUCAAAAUAUAUAAAACCGACACCUGUGCAGAAAUAUGCAUUGCCUAUUAUAAUGAGCGGUCGAGAUUUGAUGGCUUGUGCACAAACAGGUUCAGGAAAAACUGCAGCCUUUGUAGUUCCAAUUAUAAAUACUCUUUUAGAAUCACCCAGAGAAAAUGUGCAUUCAGGUUGUGCGCCACAAGUUAUAAUAAUAUCACCAACGCGAGAAUUAACCAUACAAAUCUACGAGCAAGUUCUGAAAUUCUCAGCUGGUACAAUUUUAAAAACUGUCAUUGCAUAUGGUGGUACUUCGGUUAUACAUCAAGGAAACAGAAUAAAUGCUGGUUGUGAUAUCAUAGUUGCUACACCAGGAAGAUUAAUAGAUUUUAUCCAAAGAAAACGUAUUACGCUAUCAUCCAUACGUUUUCUCGUUUUGGAUGAAGCUGAUCGAAUGCUAGAUAUGGGCUUUUUACCUGAUGUUGAGAAAAUAAUUGAUAACGAAAAUAUGGUUCCCGUAGGAGAAAGGCAAACACUUAUGUUUUCUGCCACAUUUCCAGACGAGGUACAACUAUUGGCUUCACGAUUCUUAAGUAAUUAUCUAUUCUUAGUAGUAGGUAUAGUAGGUGGCGCGUGUACGGAUGUAGAACAAAAUUUCUAUGAAGUUACGAAAUAUAAAAAACUAGGAAUGUUAAAAGAAGUUAUUGAUAAAGAGAUUGCAAAUGGUAGACAACAGGGUACUUUGGUUUUCGUUGAAAUGAAAAGAACAGCCGACUUUAUCGCCGCUUUCUUAUCAGAAAACAAUUUUCCUACAACGAGUAUUCACGGGGACAGAUUGCAACGUGAAAGGGAAGAAGCCUUGCGAGAUUUUCGCAGUGGCCGAAUGUCUAUAUUAGUUGGUACAGCAGUUGCGGGACGUGGUUUAGACAUACGAAAUGUUUCUCACGUUAUAAAUUAUGAUUUGCCACAAGGAAUCGAUGAAUACGUUCACAGAAUUGGUCGUACUGGUCGUGUGGGUAAUCGUGGAAAGGCAACAUCUUUCUUUGAUCCAGAAGUUGAUAAUCCAUUGGUCUUUGAUCUGGUCAAAAUUUUGAAACAAGCAGAUCAACCGAUACCCGAUUGGUUGUUGAGUGCAAGUGACAAAAAUAGAUCUUAUACAUCUGAUAUGUCCACAUUUGGUGCAGAAGAUAUUCGUAAUUUCGGAGAAGAGGAUAACGGAGUGCCGUACGAUAAAUCAGCGUAUAACACUGUAGAGCCAGAGGAAUCGUGGUAGAAAAGAAAGAAACAAUACUGUUAUACUUUAAAGAAGGAUCUGACCAAAGUGUUUUGUAUAAAGUUACAAUCAUAGGGUUUGUAGUAUACAUCCUAUCGGAGUUUCUUCGAGGAUGAUCAAUCGACCGUCUUGACACCUGCCAUCAUCCUUUAACCUGGCAUCUACAACAACGAGAACGAAUAUGACGAAGACAACGAGAAGGAUAACUACGACCAGGACGACUAUGGGUGUUCUUCGAUCGAGUCCACCUUUCACCUUAGAACACACUAUGUCCACCGUGUUUUCAUACGUGACUGCCGGUCAAAGCUCGUUUCCGUUCACAAAGUUGUGAAUGAAAAUAUUGAUGAAACCAAAUGCGAGACAGUGGUGCUGGUGCUGUUACUGCUGCUGUUGCUGCUGCUUGUCGCAUUAUUCCCCUUCGCGUUCCAUACCAUAAGGAAUAGCACAAAUAUUUUUAUGCUUACCACCACCAUCACCACCACCACCAUUUCAACUCAUCUCUCUUUUCUUUUCUUCUUUUCUUUGGGAGAUAAACGACAGCACGCGCGUUUCUAUUUUUUUUUUAUUAAAUAUUUUAUAUUACAUAUAUAUAUAUAUAUUAAAUAUAAAAACCACGUACUACCAUCUAUUACCAUCAUCAUUUUCUCUAUAGAGUUUAGAUGGGAACGCGGAGACACGGCGAGUUUUCUUUCUUUUAAUUCGCUCGCGACCUCAAUGAUAGCUCGAGUAACAGCAACAGCAAUAGCAACAGCAGUAGCAAAAUACACCGACGGUGAAUUCGUUUCGCACAUCCUAGACGUCCCGCGUACCAAACGCGCAUUAUGCAUUUCACAGUGCAUAAGUCCUGCAGCUGCCUCGGAAUCCCGUCGCGUUUCUCGACUCUUCGUGAAAAUUGCUCGACAGACACACAGAGAUGAGAAAGACAAAGACAAAGAGAGAGAAUUCAUAGUCUUGGGAUCUAAAAACUAAAGUAUGUUCAUUCGUUAUUUUAUCGUACGAACUAAUAGAAAAGAAAAAUGAAUAAAAAAUAAACACAGAAUCAAACAAAGAUGGUGGGAGGGGGUGGGUGGGUGGUAAGAAAGAAAAAUUGUUAUUCUUUCCAACCAAUGAUCGUUAAUAUAUACUCAGCGAGUAAUAUUUUGUAUCGACAACUCUAGCGCCAAUUGGAAUAAUUUAGAAAUAUUUCGAACAAAUGAAAAUAAGUUAAGCAUUGUUUCCCAAGGUAAAGUCAGUCAGUCAGUUUUCCCAGUAGAAAUAAUCGAUAAUAGUUAAGUGUGUCGGGUUAAGGUAUGAGCUAAAGAGUUUCGAGUUAUCGACAAAACGUUAAGCAAUUAAAUGUUGCACGACUUAACGAUACAACCACAUAUAUAUUAUAUAGAACACUUAAUACAUAUACUAACGGGCUCGGAAAGCUCAUGAACAUUAUUACUCAUGGAUAGUAUAUACUAUCUCAUGGCUAAUGGGCCACGAUAUUAAUUAUGAUUCAUUUAGAUAGUCAUCGGAUUAAUGCACGCUCACAUGGGUUACUUCAGAGACGAGCUCAAACCAAGACGACCACCGAGUAUCGUUACUACAAGUGCAUCCUAAUGUCCGAGCCCUCUUCUCUUCUCUUCCUUCUUCCACUUCCUCUUUUCUUUUUUUUUCUUUAUUUAUUUAUUUCUUUCUUUUUAU
rnacentral:misc_RNA from 1 species